rnacentral:lncRNA from 12 species
AGCACAUUUCUUGUAUCGAACUGAAUUUUGCCUUGGGCUUGUCCUGUUGCUGAGAAAUAAGAGACUCUCUAUCCGCAACAGGCGUUGGAGAGAUAUAAAUUGUACAUUUGCUUCAGGGUUUUUCCUCAACUAUCUGUGCCUGGACAAACACAAAACUGCAUUUCUUGGAGUCCUGCCCAUCUGGAGUGGGGAAGCAUCCUGCUACACUGGCAAGACAUCAACCGGACUCUACAGGAGAAUGAACAAAAAGAAUGGCCUCCUAUCCGCGUCUGGAGAAAAAUCACUCACAGGAUUUCAGGUCCGCCGCACACCACGGAGAAAAUGCCUUAUCGAUGUCCCUGCAGGGAAGCUCACACGAGCCAGCAGAUCGGAGCCAAGUUGCAGAUGUAAUAUGGACAAACCUUAUGAAGAGACAGAAGGCAAGUCAAGGGAAUGGGAACUGUCAUUCUUCAACAUUGAAAUCACAACUGUAAUGAGGGGCACCUGGGUGGCUCAGUCGGUUAACUGUCUGCCUUCAGCCAGUGUCAUGAUCUCAGAGUCCUGGGAUGGAGCCCCAUACUGGGCUCCCUGCUCAGUGGGGAGCCUGCUUCUCCCUCUCUCUCUGCCCCAAUCCCUCUCCCCACCCCCACCCCCCGUCCUCAGCUCAUGUUCUCUCUCUGUCUCAAAUAAAUAA